rnacentral:rRNA from 1 species
AGAGUUUGAUCCUGGCUCAGAACGAACGUUAGCGGCGCGCCUAACACAUGCAAGUCGCACGAGAAGGGGCUUCGGCCCUGGUACAGUGGCGCACGGGUGAGUAACACGUGGGUAAUGUUCCCUCAGGCGGGGGAUAACCUUCCGAAAGGAGGGCUAAUACCGCAUAUGACCACGGCCUCGAAAGAGAUCGCGGUAAAAGC